rnacentral:rRNA from 1 species
GAUGAACGCUGACGGCAUGCUUAACACAUGCAAGUCAACUGUGGCGGACGGGUUAGUAACGCGUAAAGAACUUGCCUCUCAGAUAGGGACAACAUUUGGAAACGAAUGCUAAUACCUGAAACUGUGUGAGAGCUUUGCGUCCCAUUAGCUAGUUGGAGAGGUAACGGCUCACCAAGGAGAUGAUGGCUAGCCGGCCUGGGAGGGUGUUCGGCCACAAGGGGACCGGGACACGGCCCGUAGUCCUGCGGGAGGCAGCAGUGGGGAAUAUUGGACAAUAGACCAAAGUAUGAUCCAGCAAUUCGGGGUGUACGAUGAAGUUGUCGGAAGGUAAAGUGCUUUCAGUUGGGAAGCGGUACCAACAGAAGAAGUAACGGCUAAAUACGUGCCAGCAGCCGCGGUAAUUC